CAGGGUGUAGGGGUCUGAGCAGGGUGUAGGGGUCUGAGCAGGGUGUAGGGUUAGGGUUGAGGGGUCUGAGCAGGGUGUAGGGUUGAGGUGUCUGAGCAGGGUGUAGGGUUAGGGUUGAGGGGUCUGAGCAGGGUGUAGGGUUAGGGUUGAGGUGUCUGAGCAGGGUGUAGGGUUAGGGUUGAGGGGUCUGAGCAGGGUGUAGGGUUAGGGUUGAGGGGUCUGAGCAGGGUGUAGGGUUAGGGUUGAGGGGUCUGAGCAGGGUGUAGGGUUGAGGGGUCUGAGCAGCAUGCCAGAGCACACACACACUGUCUGAGCCCCCCUACCUUCCUCCAUCUCUUCCUCCUCCUCACCCUCAUCCUCCUCCUCUUCCUCCUCCUCAUCCUCAGGGGCGCUACACUCCGUCCGUGCAUCGUCCUCUUCUUCCGGCUCUUCCUCCUCUUCCUCCUCCCCCUCUUCCUCAGGCUCGGCGUCUGAGUAGGGUUCGUCGGCAGGCAGUGAGCUGCGCUCAGGUGAGACGGGCUCCAGGUAGUCCUCCCCUCUUUCAGUCGGCUCCGCCUUGGCCACUCCAACUGAGACAGUCACCAUGGACACCACAGUCGGUUAUCACGGCAACCAAAGAUGGCAUCAGGUAUACACGGAUACAAGCUGGCACAAAUACAUGGAAACGUUUCUUUUGGCAAGGUUAGCUAGUUGAAUAUACAGUAUGAAAUCUGUCCCUGUGAGAUGAACAUAGAGACGCAGAGAAGUGUGUGUGUGUGUUACCGGUCACUGGGACCGGCUCCUCAUCAUCAUCAUCUGGUGGGGGCGGUCCAGGAGGGGUGCGGGGGCCUCUGGGUGCUGGUCUGGGAGGACUGCCAUUAUGCUGCUCCUCCUUAUCCCACUC
rnacentral:lncRNA from 1 species